rnacentral:rRNA from 1 species
GACGAACGCUGGCGGCGUGCUUAACACAUGCAAGUCGAACGAAGUGGCGAACGGGUGAGUAACGCGUAAUCAACUUGCCCUUCAGAGGGGGAUAACAGUUGGAAACGACUGCUAAUACCGCAUACUGAAGGAGGGGAUUGCGUCUGAUUAGCUAGUUGGGGGGGUAACCGCCCACUGAGGCGAUGAUCAGUAGCCGGUCUGAGAGGAUGAACGGACACAUCGGGACCGGGGCACGGGCCCGACUUCUACGGGAGGCAGCAGUGGGGAAUCGUCCGACAUGGGCGAAAGUCUGACGGAGGAACGCCGCGGGAGUGAUGACGGGCUUCGGGGUGUAAAUCUCUGUUAAUCGGGACGCGGUACCGGAAUAGAAAGCCCCGGCUAACUACGUGCCAGCAGCCGCGGUAAUAC